rnacentral:rRNA from 1 species
AGCGAACGCUGGCGGCAGGCCUAACACACGCAAGUCGAACGAAGUCUUCGGACUUAGUGGCGGACGGGUGAGUAACACGUGGGAACGUGCCCCUUGGUACGGAAUAACUCAGGGAAACUUGAGCUAAUACCGUAUGUGCCCUUCGGGGGAAAGAUUUAUCGCCAUUGGAGCGGCCCGCGUCUGAUUAGCUAGUUGGUGAGGUAAAGGCUCACCAAGGCGACGAUCAGUAGCUGGUCUGAGAGGAUGAUCAGCCACAUUGGGACUGAGACACGGCCCAAACUCCUACGGGAGGCAGCAGUGGGGAAUUUUGCGCAAUGGGCGAAAGCCUGACGCAGCCAUGCCGCGUGAAUGAUGAAGGUCUUAGGAUUGUAAAAUUCUUUCACCGGGGACGAUAAUGACGGUACCCGGAGAAGAAGCCCCGGCUAACUUCGUGCCAGCCGCCGCCGUAA